AUUGAACGCUGGCGGAAUGCUUUACACAUGCAAGUCGAACGGCAGCACGGGGGCAACCCUGGUGGCGAGUGGUGAACGGGUGAGUAAUACAUCGGAACGUGCCCAGUCGUGGGGGAUAACGUAGCGAAAGCUACGCUAAUACCGCAUACGAACUGAGGUUGAAAGCGGGGGAUCGCAAGACCUCGCGCGAUUGGAGCGGCCGAUGGCAGAUUAGGUAGUUGGUGGGGUAAAGGCUCACCAAGCCGACGAUCUGUAGCUGGUCUGAGAGGACGACCAGCCACACUGGGACUGAGACACGGCCCAGACUCCUACGGGAGGCAGCAGUGGGGAAUUUUGGACAAUGGGCGCAAGCCUGAUCCAGCCAUUCCGCGUGCAGGAUGAAGGCCCUCGGGUUGUAAGCUGCUUUUGUACGGAACGAAACGGCCUGGGUUAAUACCUCGGGCUAAUGACGGUACCGUAAGAAUAAGCACCGGCUAACUACGUGCCAGCCGCCGCCGUAACAC
rnacentral:rRNA from 1 species